UACGGAGGGGGCUAGCGUUGUUCGGAAUUACUGGGCGUAAAGGGCGCGUAGGCGGCGAUUCAAGUCAGGCGUGAAAGGCCUGGGCUCAACCCGGGAACUGCGUUUGAUACUGGAUUGCUGGAGUCCGGGAGAGGAUGGCGGAAUUCCCAGUGUAGAGGUGAAAUUCGUAGAUAUUGGGAAGAACACCGGUGGCGAAGGCGGCCAUCUGGACCAACACUGACGCUGAGGAGCGAAAGCCAGGGGAGCAAACGGG
rnacentral:rRNA from 1 species